UACGGGGGGUGCGAGCGUUGUCCGGAAUCACUGGGCGUAAAGGGCGCGUAGGUGGUUUGAUAAGGGUGUGGUGAAAGCCCGGGGCUCAACCCCGGGUCUGCCGUGCCGACUGUCAAACUCGAGGGCUGUAGAGGCAGACGGAAUUCCCGGUGUAGUGGUGGAAUGCGUAGAGAUCGGGAGGAAUACCAGUGGCGAAAGCGGCACCCUGGCGUCGUACUGACGCACAUGUGCGAAAGCGUGGGGAGCGAACGGG
rnacentral:rRNA from 1 species